GUUUUUCUCCGGAAGAAAUAAGGAUUUCUGCAGUAUCCUAAAAUACUAAGGCUGCUUCUAUUUUGAGACCAAUCUCGCAGGCACAUCCGCUCAUUUAGUCCGAGUUUGAGCCCAUCAAAAAACAGGAGAUGACCUGAACUCAGGCGAGUCCUGGGCUUCCUGCUGCUUUCUUGGUUCGGAGGGGUAGGGAACAGGCAAGAGGAAAGAAUCUAAGGGCUCAGACCAGGGCGAGCGGCCUAUCCGGGCGAGGCUUGGGAUUGGGGAAUGGGUGGUGGGGAUCGCGCCCAAGCUUCCUUUUUGCCUUUGCCUCUGGGAGCUCGUGGUAGGCCCCGGGUGGCGUUGAUGCGGUUGUAGUGGGGCGGAAGGCCUGGGAGAGCAGAGAGGCGCACCGGCGAAGUUGCAAAUUUGCUACACUGCCGCGGACCUUGCAGAGAAAGAGGCGCGCGGCGGGACGAGGAGUCGGUCGGGAAACCAGCCCUCCCGUCCUCUCUUUUGCGGCGUUUGCCAGCGCUUCAAGUCUAGAAGCAGGGCUUUUGCGGGUCAUGGACCGCGCAGGGAACUUGAGGGCGUGUGUUUUCCCGAGUCUGCAUCCGGAGCUCGCCCCGGGAGGGUUUCAAGAUUUGGAAAGUGUGAAAAGGGGCGGGGAGUCUUACUUCAAGACGAGGAGGUGAAGGUAUGGAGCCGCUUGGGGUAAAACAUAAAUGGAUUUCUUUUAGAAAAGCUCAAAGUUUGGGCUUAGGCCACGGUGUGAAAAUUUACAGUCACACUGGAAGAGCAACCGAAUUGGAAGUGGCACUAGAAAAGAGAGGAGAGGGCUCAGGGCCACCCCUACAUACAUUGGCUAGUGACUUUCCCUGGGACCUGUGAAACUGCAGAAAAGCUCUCCUCCUAACCAGAGCACACCAGAACCCUUGGCCAAGGCCUCCAACGGCCUAAGUACUAGUUACUUCUUUACCCCCAGCCAGACAGGACUUUUUGGCUCUCUCGCUUCAGGUGCCACUGCCCUCAACUGACCACACUCCUCCUUUGUGGAAAUAUCACCUCGGACCUCUCUGUGAAACAGCAGGGCAAGAAAACCCUUUAAUAAGAGAGUGAAGAGGGGAGGGGAGAAAUAUGAAAGAAAUAUGAAAUGAAUGUUAGUAUGUUAGAUAGCAAGUGAUUAGUUAUUGAUUACUUUUCAGGAGAAAGUCUAAAGCUUGAAGUGACAGCCUCUGUGAAAGGGGUAGAAACUACUAGAAAUUAAUGACCACGCAAAUUCUGAAUUUGAGAUAGGAAUGGCAAGUUCACUUGUAUUUGGGGCUUCAUUUUGUGUUUUAAAGAAAAUUAAAAUGCCAAAGGACCUUUGUUAAGAGAUGUUUAUUAGGACAAUCGAAAACAAAAGAUUUCGUGGUUUCAUUAUUGUUAUUAUUUUAUUUUCUUCCUGAAAAUGUGCAAGAACAGCUCAUCUGGGUGGCCUGUGGUUUGUUUGGGAGAGGGGUGGGGAAAUCCAUUCUGACUAUAAUUUAAACGAGAACGAAUUCUUAAAAUAGAGAUGUUGAUGUUGCAGAAACCCUCCCCCUACUUCUACCACCCUGCGUUCUAAGACCCAAAGCGCGAAUCAAAGGCGUUGGCCACCACUGCAGCUCCUCCUGCGACCAGGCCAAAGGGGAUCUUGGGAGAAACUGUCACUGAAUUGAAAGUAGAAUUUAACCCCAAGGAAAUCUGCUCUGGAGGGCACUUGCAAAACAACACACCCCACGUGACCCGAGGAUGUGGCGGUGAAGGGAGGGUGGCAUUUCCUACAAGGUACAGCAGAGGAGGGGACGUGCUUGCUGUACUCCCGGGUUUCGGAGGUCGGCUGUUGUCUCAGGCUCCGGGGAAGCUUUGGCUGUGUCUAAGGGAGUCGUUCGGAGCCAUCCAUCUUAUUUUGUUUGAAAAGUCACUAGUUCAAGUUGUCAUUAGUGUGACAGUUCAAAAUAAAACUAAUUCGCGGCCUCCCCUCCUCCUGGUUUCUCUGAGGACUCCCCGGAGGCAGCGAGGCGGACACUUUGGUGAGUUGGGCCGAGACUCAGAGCCGCAGCAUCCAGGCAGAGGCCCAGGAAAGAUGGCUGUUGGGAUAAAAACUAAGUGAAGGAAAAAAUCCGACAAGAAUGAGAAAAAAAAAGGGGGGGGGGAUCCAAGGGACCGCCAGUUCUCCACCGGGAGACACGCUGUGCACCGGAUAAAGUGCAGGAGAACCAGCUCUCCCCCUUCUGGGCCGGCGGUGGAGCGCUCCAGUUAUCAACUCUCCUCGCCCGGUGGCGGUCAGAGCUGCAGAAGUUAAAAUUAGUUGCCGCUGGAGCCGCCGCCCAGCCUCUACGCAGCUGAGGGACUAGCAGGACCCUGCUCAGCCCACGCGGCCGCAGAAAACACUUUGGCGUGGCCGGGGGCGUGGCUGAGGUCGGGCCACGCCCCCUCUUUCCCAAUUCCCUUCCACGCCUGUAUCCCAUUGGUUACGGGGAUAGCCAAUGAGCUUUUGGAUCGAGGUCCUACCCCGGGUCUGACUCGAAAGCUCCUGCCAAAACUUUGGGAGUUUUUAGAGAGGAGAUUUUUUUUGUUGUUCCCCCCCCUCCUCUUAAUACUUUUUUUUUUUUUAAACUAACGGAUUAUUUUUGUUGUUUUAAAUUUAGCUCUUAGGCUUAGCUGUUCGGGUUUUUCUUUCGGUCACCGGCCCCUGUCUCCCGGCUUCUCCCGCGUGUACGGAGCCGCGGUCCCCUCCCGCCUAGUAGUGGCUCCAGCGCUCAGUGUUCGCCUCUGUCCCGCGAGGAGCCGGCGCCGCGCCGCCUUUGACAUAAGACCAGGGGCCGAGACGGUGACCGGCCAAAAUCUGGCCCCCGCCUCCUCCGUCCGAGGCGCUAGGGCUCCCGGCCUCUCUUCUUCAGGGCGGGCGGAGAAGCGAAAGCGGAUCGUCCUCCCCGGGGCCGCCGCCCCUCCCCGCGCACCCACCCAUUCACCCACUCGCUGGGUCAGGCCCGACCGCGGCCGCCGCGCGGCUCACCCGGCUAGUAUGUUCGCGGCCGGGCUGGCUCCGUUUUAUGCCUCCAAUUUUAGCCUCUGGUCGGCCGCUUACUGCUCCUCGGCCGGCCCGGGUGGCUGCUCCUUCCCCCUGGACCCUGCCGCUGUCAAGAAACCCUCCUUCUGCAUCGCAGACAUCCUACACGCCGGCGUGGGGGAUCCAGGGACGGCUCCAGAGGGACUGGUGGGGGCUUCAGCUGCCGCCCUAACCGCGCACUUGGGCUCGAUUCACCCGCACGCCUCCUUUCAAGCUGCCGCCAGAUCCCCGCUCCGUCCCACCCCGGUGGUGGCGCCUUCCGAAGUCCCGGCAGGCUUCCCGCAGAGGCUGUCUCCACUUUCAGCUGCCUACCACCACCAUCACCCACAGCAGCAGCAGCAACAACAACCUCAGCAACAAUCUCAGCAACAGCCGCAACAGCAACAGCCCGCACCUCCGACCCGGGCCGGCUCCCUGCAGACCUCGGCCUCGGGGACCCGUGUGAUCCCGCACCAUAGCGGCUCGACACCGGCUCCCUCCAGCAAAGACCUCAAAUUUGGAAUUGACCGUAUUUUGUCUGCAGAAUUUGACCCAAAAGUCAAAGAAGGCAACACGCUGAGAGGUAGGUCUUUGGUGGGAGACUUCAGGCCUUGAUGAUCACUCCCAAGGCCUCAGGCGGGUUUUGGAGGAGGUGUGGUUCAGUGUGUUUAUAAUUAAGGACAACUCAGUAAAAUAGGGGAGAAGAAAACGAAUCAUAAGGAAAUUACAGAAUAUUAAGUCUAAAAUUCACCUACUCUCUGAUUUAAAAAAAUAUGCCUGGGAUGCUUCAAAAUCACAAGAUACAGAAUGAAUAUUCAUAUAACAGUCAGUGUAAAUGUUUGCAAAAAUUACUAUACUUUGUCUUAUGAACCAUAUUUAGAGAGAGAACUAUAUAUAUUUUUUUCUGUCUAGGAGAGCCUUGUUGGGGAACAGCUUUCCUUUCCAUUUAUCUGAUUUCAUCCCCAGCAACACACACACACACACACACACACACACACUAAUUCGUUUAUCUGAUUUCUCGAAAUAUUCUACCCAAAAAGGUAGAUAAAUAAAAUUGACCCUUGAGGGUAGACAGCUGAGUGGGGAUGGAGAUUUGGGGUCUGUAAAAUUCCUGGAAGUCUCCUGAAAGUGACUUCCUUAAGGCUGUUUUCAUGGAAAGCCAUAUAUGUGGGUGUGGACAUGAGGGACACACAGUAACAUUCCCAGCAUUGCUCUUUGGGGACUGUGGUGGGGAGGGAAGGUUUCCUCAUGGAGAGAGGGGUCUCUCUGGACUUGCUCCUGUGAAUCCAGGGAGUGGGGAAGAACAGGAACAAAUCUCUGAAGAGUGUGCAUUUGCCUAUGUAACCAACUAUUUUCCUUGUUCCCAGAUCUCACAUCCCUGCUAACUGGUGGACGACCUGCAGGAGUGCACCUUCCAGGCCUGCAACCCUCCGCUGGCCAGUUCUUCGCAUCCCUAGAUCCUAUUAAUGAGGCUUCUGCCAUCCUCAGUCCCUUAAGCUCCAACCCAAGAAAUUCAGUUCAGCAUCAAUUCCAAGACACAUUUCCAGGUACAGAAAACAUUCGAAUUAUGGCCCAAGUGCAGGACAUAUGACUGUCAGAAAUCUCAGGACUGAUUCCUCAAGCGGCAGACACAGUGUUGCAAUUCUUUUUGGGGUGGGAGAGGCUACCAAGUCUGGAGAAAGAAAUGAGGAAGAUUUCUCCUCAAGCUAGAGCUAGCGCUUGCUUCAGACAGCUGAGAGUGGAAGAGAAUGGAGGGAAAGGGGAUGGGGGGGGGCAAAAAAGUGUGUGCAAUAGUUGGUCACCGGGUGGGGGUUUUUCCCUAGGUUUUUUUUUUUUUUUUUUUUUUUUGAAGGAUAGAGAGAUUUGUGAAUGAAGUCUCAAAAGACGUUGCUUAUUAAAAUACACACAUUUGGGGGGGUAACUUCAAACACUCCUACUUUUAAGAGGUUUUGAAUGUGGGCACAUGAGGGAGUACAUACACAAAGUAAAAUUUAGGGGUGUCAUCACUAGAUCUUUGAUGUCUCAGGGAUGUUUUAAUCUACUCUUUGCAUGCCCAAAUAUUAGGACUAUUUUUUUCUUGGAGUUGAUUGACAAGCUACUUGGCUUUCCCACUCCACCCUUGCUUUAAGCUUUCUGACUAUCAUUCUAAGAGCUGUGAAAUUCCUCCUUAGGAAAGGCCAUUCAGUGUGUGUGGAGCCAACUGUUAAUACAAAACACUUUUAAGCAGCCCAGUGAGACAGGCCUGCAAUUGUCUCUCUUCCCUCUCUUACCUUCUGCUCCGACUCCGUGGUAGGUCCCUAUGCUGUGCUCACGAAGGACACCAUGCCACAGACAUACAAGAGGAAGCGUUCUUGGUCGCGUGCAGUCUUUUCCAACCUGCAGAGGAAAGGCCUGGAGAAAAGGUUUGAGAUCCAGAAGUAUGUGACCAAGCCAGACCGAAAGCAGCUGGCAGCAAUGUUGGGCCUCACAGAUGCACAGGUAAGUCAGCCAGGGAUCCAGCACAUAGUGCCCUACCGGGUGGGCGGGCAGCAGCGGGUGUCCUAACUCCUCAGUCCCCCUCAGUCCCCACCGACUCACCUUUUGAAAUCAAAACACAGUGUCUUGAAUUAAAGGAGGUUUUGUGAACUUUAAAAUUGAGGCAGGAGGAGAGGAGGGUGGGGUAGGGGUGAGGGAGAACUAGGAGGAGAAUUGUUCAUCCCCGAAGAUGUCAACAAGCAGUAUGUGUUUAUUUUGGCCAACAGGCAAAAGAACCACUGAGAAAGCAAAUAGACUGCGGGAGAUGAUAAUUAUGUACUCAACUGGAGUGCAGUUCGCUAUAGGAGGCAGUUUAUUUCAGAAGAGAUAAAAGCCCAAAGUCAAGAGAUUGUUGUUGUUGUUGUUGUUAAUUUAAUUUUAUUUUUCUUCUGCCCUUCCUCCUCCUCUGCUGCUACUGGAUUGUGAAAUCCCUAGUUAUGAGGAAGUGAAAAUAUCAUUUCAAACGGAAUUACUUAGCUCCACUAGGGUCCGCUUAGAGCGGCCACAGGUCCAAGUUCUAACGGCUUUGGCUCUGUAGGAUGUCUCUGUGGUGGGGGCUGGGGUGUCUAGAAAGAAAGGUUUUCUUAAAAUGCCCAAGAGAAUUUCAGCAGGUUCUACCUACUUGAAUUUUUUUCCCCCAAGACAAUAAGAAACCUAUUGUACCUGAAUUAGUUUUCUUUUUCUUUGAUUCAAGAACUGUCCUUUCCUUUCCUUUCCUUUCCUUUCCUUUCCUUUCCUUUCCUUUCUUCUCUUCUUCUUUUAGCUUUGACUUCAGAAGAGACACCUCGUUCCACCUAUCUCAGCAGUAGCUUCUGUCACCAGCAGGGCAGAAGCCAAAGUUAGCCUUCUUUUUCUUAGAUCCCUGAUGGUCCCCUGACUUAUCUCUGUAUCUUUCUGUUCUCCAUUACACAACUCGGCUCCCCAGUGUGCGUGGCUUGUGCAUGCAUUCCCCCCACCCCUUACACACACACUGGAGGAGCCCAGCCAUUUUUCCACCAGCUGUGGAUGUUAUUUUUAAAAGGGAAGCUGGAACUUGUGUGGACGGGUUGGGUCCCCCAGGGAAUCAUAUAUUUAUAUAGAUUCUCUGCUCCAUCUUUUACCCUCUUCUUCCAUUUUGCUCACGUUAAUUCCAGCAUUUUCUGAUCUCCAAGAAAGAUUAGUUUAUCCCUGUCAGAGGCAGGGUUCUUAUCAACUCUGGAGUAAAAAUAUGCCAAAAAAAAAAAAAUCUCUUUUAUUCAAAGCCUGGCAAUACCCCUACUCGGCUAGGAUUAACUCUUUGCACCUCUUUUCUCACUUGCAUCCCACUUUUAUUCUUUAAAAUAAUAGCUUUUGCAGUGGCUUGCUUUGGAUCAUGAUAGUACAGGAUAGGACCUUGUGGAGAGAAAAAUUUUAACAUUGUCUCACCAAAAACUUGAGAUUCUGUGUAUCAUCAUGGGAACAUACCCCUUUUUCUGGGUCAGCAGUCCACAACUUUAAUCAGGUUCUUACAGGAGUCCUGACUCAAGUGAGGUCAAGAAACAGGGAUUUAGAGUAGAGAGCUUUAGUAGGUUUAGGGCCAGUUGCAGGAAUCUGCCUUUUCAACAAACUAUCUAGGUCAUUUCAAAUCUGAGGUCUGGGGGCCACAUUUUGAGAAUGGACCUAGUGGGUUCAGUGGUCCAGGAUCCCUAGGCUCAUUUUAGCCCUUAGCUGCCUCUGGGUCCCUUGUGCUUAUAUGGGAUUUUGGUAACUGCACCUAGUAAGGUGACUGGCAGGUGCAAGAGAGUCAGCCUGUUAUUCAUCUUGACUCCCUGUCCCGCUCAGGUGAAGGUGUGGUUCCAGAACCGGCGAAUGAAGUGGCGCCACUCCAAGGAGGCCCAAGCACAGAAGGAUAAGGACAAGGAGGCCGGCGAGAAGCCUCCAGGCGGAGCCCCGGUUGCCGAGGGCGAACAGGAGGAGAGGAGCCCCAGUCGCUCAGAGGGCGAGGCCGAGAGCGAGAGCAGCGACUCCGAGUCUCUGGACAUGGUCCCCAGCGACACCGAGCGGACUGAGGGGGCUGAGCGAUCUCUUCACCAAACAACUGUUAUCAAGGCCUCGGCCGCCGGCACCCUCAUCGCGGCCAGCAGCGGUGGGAGUGGAGGAGGUAGCGGCGGCAGCAGUUUCAGCUUCGGCAGCGCUAGCAGCCUCAGUAGCACCAGCACCAGCACGGGGAGCGCAAGCAGUCUUGGCAGCGGGGGCAGUAGCACCUCGGAGCUGCUCCCUGCACCCCAACCCACAGUUAGCAGUGCUCCCAAAAGCCCGGAGCCUCCCCAGGUCCCGCUGGGCAGCUUAUAGACUUCAGGAGGACUCAGGGGACUCUACGCGCAGCCUCCCACAUACGGGCUGGAUUUUGUGUUGGCGUUGGGCUGGGGCCAGAGAUGCAGCAAAGACUACUCUUCAGUGUUCACUCCAUGCCCCUUGGUGCCCAGAGCUCAGAGCCCAGAGGCCAUAAGUGUGUCCCCACCAAAGAUUCCUAUGGAACUCUUCUCUGGACAUGUGCAGCCCACACUGUGAAGUGUUUGAACUGUUCCUGCUCUCCAGGGAUCGUGGCAUAAAGACAUGCUGCACUUAAGAAGCCUUAAACUUGUAAAUAAAAUGUUUACCAUGGUUUGUAAAAGGCCCUUGGCUUGCUGGGGUGAUCUCCAAGGAUCUUUAACCCAAAUGUUAGGCCUGAACCAGGAUCUUAGGUGGGGGGAUGGGGCUUUUGGGGAAAAGAGGUUCAACCUGAGAGACAUCUUGUUGCAGAGAUCUGUCUCCGGAGUCAGAGGAUUCACCUAAUUCAGUGGGUAGGUAGCUGGUGCCAACCACCAGCUAACAUGGGUUUGGUCACCCUUUGCAUGGCCUGAGAGAAGAAUAAAGAGCAGGCCCUAGAAUCUGUUAGGCCUGUUCAGCAGAUGGUCUCCUCAUUCAGAGGCUGGUUGCAAUGAGUGUGUAUCCCUUGCUUUCCCUGUUCCACAGUGUGCAGGAGAAGUGGAGAAGGCUAUGCUCCUGGCUAUGCUUCUGUCAAUUUAAGGCAUGGCAGUACUCUUUAGGUGGCCACUCAGGGCCCUGGCAGGAAUGUCGACUCUCCCAGUGCAAACUGCUCUUUGCUCAGGGAUGGGGUAGAGGACACAGGGCAGGUCUGUAGUGUCUAUUGGAGGAAAGGACAGGAAUGCCACAGUAGUUAGGGCUGUAAGCCUGUGUCUGUGCUGGGUCCUGGUUUUAAAGAUGCUAAAAUAAUUUACAGACAAAGAAGUGCCUUGUUAAAGGUUAUGCAGAGCCCAAAUCAGAAUUUAGACUUCUUGGCUCACAUUUUGUUGGUAAUGAAUCUAUAAAAUUGAACCCUAUCACGCUUUGUACUAUAUUGCACAAAAUCUUCCUUCUUAUUCCUCUGGGGCAGGCACCCAAUUGAGUUCUUUCUCUGCCUCAUUUCUGCCCCAGCCUCCCUAGAGUUGAGACAGUUUCCCCACUCCACUGCAGCUACAAAAUAGUAAACCUAAAUCUAUUUCACCUUGCUGCUGCUGGUAGGUACCUGUUUUUUUUUGUUUUGCCAAAGAAGGGGGGUCAAACCUUUUCCAAGACCUGUUCUCUUCUACUUUCCUUCCCUGGAAAUUUAUGAAAUGUUUAGAGAUGAGCAAAAACAAUCCUUUGAAAAAAUUUGAAACAAAGAGAUGGCCCUAAAAAUUUUUUGGCACUGAAAGUUGAGGGAGAUAACAAGGUCUCUCACAAAUCCAGCAUCCUAUCACAGGAACUGUAUGUACAGUACUUAGCAAGGGGGAGAGGUGCUGAGAUCAGAGAGCCUAAAAUGUGCUCCAGUCUCCAGGCCAAGUGAGAAGGUUCCCAGAAGCUCCAGGGGUCUUGCUUAUCUUCUGCCCCAUCUUGACUCAUUCCCUGGAGCUCAUUCCAGGACCUUUGUACUAGACCUAUUGCCCACCCGGGUACAGAGAGCUGUGCCACAGAUACAGCCUUCUCUCCCUAGGCUAAGCCAGAUGCCUAAACUAAUCUCAGAGCAGUAAGCACAGGGAUGCAGGGCUGACAAUUCUCUGUUCCAAUCAACCUCCCAAGCCCCCAAAUGGAGCUGAAUUCCUAGAGGAAAGAGCCAAGUGUAAAGGGGGUUAGGAACAACCAGGGUUGUCAAGAAUAGGGAAGAGUAAAUUUACCCGACCUUGGACUAGCUAUUCUAAUUGUUCCACAAGAGUUUUUGGGCCAGCAGCAGCCUCCCAAUCCUCAUGGGCUUCAAGCACCCGGGGAGUAGAGGCUCUGGUACCUUAGCUAUGGUAUUCUCUCUUUACCUCAGUUUUGCCUUCAUUAUAGAGAAAUGAAUCUCUGACUCCCCAAAUGUUGAAAUUUUGGAACCGAACAAAUCAAAGACCAUUGAAUUUUGAGGCAUUUAAACCCAGUUUUGACGUUAAGGAGAUGUGCAUGGGGGCGCAUUUGUGUAUAUUAACUGGGGAGCAGAGCCCGGCUGGGGAGGAGAGACUGGGAGGGGUUAGGGCUUUAUUGCAAACUGUACCCACCUCCACUGCUCGAAGUGCUCUUCAAGAGCUCUCUGCCCUCAAAAUCCCUGCCGCAUUUCUUUUUCAUUCAGGGUUUAGAAAUUGAAGAAACUAAUUACUCGGGGGAGGGUAAUGGUGUGAUUUCAAGUAGAAUUUCGGCCCUACCUCCGCAAGGCUCCACCACACCAAAGGGCGCGGGGAAACUGGGAUGGAGAGUAAGCCUGACGGCAGCGGGAGUUGGAAGGUCUGGAAGUUCCUUUAGUGCUUCCAGGAGGCACCCCCCUGCCUCUGUCAACCCUACCCCUGGUCCCUGAAUAUUUAUCUUGUGAAACUCUUGAAGGGCUUUUCCCGGGUAGAGGAGCUUUUCACAUUUUCAUCAGAAACGGAACAUCACAACCUCUGGUGAAGUUUAAAAGUUUAUUUGGAGGAAGAGCAGCUGCAGGGCUUAGAAUCCUUUCUGGGAAGAAAGGCGGCUUUUGGGGAGGAUUGUUCCCCCCCCCCCCCCCCCCGGGGGCUGCUCUUUAGGGCAUCGACUAUUGGAAUCUUUCUGGCAGCGCUCGAUCCUGCCUAAGCAAGUAGAACUGAGGGUUCUGGGACACGAAAGAGAAGGCUGAGCCUGGUAAAUCUGCAGACGCCAGACUUCUGGGCUAGAGCCCGGAGGAGGCGGGUGCGCAUCGGAGAGCCGAGCAGAGCUGAGGCCCGUGUCUUUCACAUGCCCCACAGGACUGGAGCUUUUCUCCAAGCAGUAAUAACUCCUUUCUCCGAGCAGGGCUCUUGCUCGCGCAGCCCUAGAAGUUCCCGCAGCCCUAGAAGUUCCCGCAGCAUCAAGCUCUCUGAGCAUUUUCCCUAGGUGCGCGAAGCACAUGGAGGCAAAACCAAAAAAACUGAACCGACCAGCGCUGGGAGUGGGGAUGGGUGAGAAUCCAAUACUCAGUCCCCUUUCCCCGCAGCACUUAAACGCAGAAAUGCACACAACAGAAACAGACACGAAGAUUCAUACAGGAACAAGAGACUGGUACUCCGUUGUGGGUGAUACCAUACACAUUUCCGCGUUCUUCUCCAUAUGGCAAAGCAACGUGAUGAGCCUCAUGCCUGCGUUGGUGGAUGGGAUGCUAGUCUCAGUAGAAAAGUUUCCUAGCCCAAGUUCCGCAGACCAAACCAUCAAAACCCAGGAUGCAUAGCCUUACAUUUGCUGGCCUCAUUGGAGAGAGGGAAGGGACUGAGAUGCCAGUAGUUUGUCACUCUCGCUGGACAGUCCCUACCAAGUCCAAAGCACAAGGUCCAGAGAGACAUCAAAACCUUUAUGGGGGGACUCCUAUUGAUAUAUCAGCCAAGGAAAAGAUUCCUUGUCCUCCCCACUACUCUACCCUCUUCAAGUUCUGAAAUCUUUUGUGUGUGUAUUGCUCAGACUCUGAUUGUCACAAAUCUGUCUGAUCCCUUUGAAACUCAGAAAAGACCACAAAGUCCAGGACCUAUGAGAUUUUUUUUCUCUGACUGCUCUCCCUACCCAGGGUCUGGGUCUGGAGUGGAAUGUUGGUGAGGCUUGACUGUGCCCUGCCUAAAGCAGGCUACACAAGACAGAAUAAGAUUGUCCAUCUCUUCCAAGCCUUUUCUUUGGGGUCCCAGAGGUCAAAGUAACCUGAGAGUGAACCCAGCUUCUUCUGCACAGACUCACAGCCACUUUCAGGAGCUUAGGGGUCUUAAGGAGGGUUGGGCAGGAACUAGACCUGCAGCAGUGGAUUUUCUGAGGGUGUUUUAGACUUGAAGUUUAAUCUGUGGAGCUUUAACCUAUUCUGGGAUGUAAUCAUAACUCACCCCAUGCUGAAGCCAAUUUCAGAUUCCAGAUUGGUGAGAUAGGCUUGGGGCUGUUUUGGAGUUAUUAACUGUGGAAAAGAGGGCAGAGGCUGAAGAAGUUUUCUCACUCUCCUUUGGUUUUUGUAUGUUGAGUCGCCCCUCCAGUUGUGUGUGUGUGUGUGUGUGUGUGUGUGUUUUAAGUAAUAGGGGCAGGGUAACUACGAGCUUGGUUCUCCCCAUUAAAUUUAAUGGCAUAGCAUUGAAGAUAUCCAAGAAGAUGCUUAAUGCCAUAGGGAUACCACAUUUCCCUUUAUUUAGCCUCUGGGGAGUGGGGACACUGCACACUCUAAGGUCUGUGUGAAGAUGCAAGUAUUGGGUUUAAAGGAGGAUUUUAACUAUAUAUAUUGGGGAGAGGAAUAAAAACCUCGAUAUAACACUUCUUAUUUCCAGCUUCCACUUACGAUGUUGUGAUGGGAUUGGGCAGCAACUCCAAGACUAAUGGAAGUCUUAAAGGUAAUCUCCUUACCCAUGUAGACAUUAAAGCUGUGAUGCAGCUGCUCUUGGGGAAUCCUGAUAAUUUACACAAGACAGAAAACACUUUCUAAGAUAUCUCCAAGAUGGUUUCCAACAGAGCAGCAACACUUGCUGGGAUCUCUGUCUCACAUAGACAGGCUGGUUUGGAGAACUGCUGGCCCUUGGGUCCCUUUGCUGUCCCAUAUGCUGUGUCAUUUUAGAAACCAAGGAUGUAUGUCUCCAGAGCUGCUCCACAGAUUUACUUCAGACUCCCUCAUCUUAAGGAUGUGACCAAGGUCCCCAGAAGAAUGAGUAAGAGGAGUAAGAUGAGCCUUGGGGUCAAUGCCUAUUGAGGUCCACAAGAACGUGAAGGCUCCUCCAGGAUUCCAGUCCGGAUUUUUAAAGCUUAAUUGUUUUUUUUUUUUUUUUUAAAUAGCUAGGAGGUUCUGCUGCGCGACUUUGGGCUCCUGUUAGCUCCUCCCCUCCCCCUCUGUGGUCCCUUUGGGAGUCGCUGAUCAGGCUUGGUUUUUCUCUAGUUGACACCCCGCCCUCCAACUUGCGCGGUCUCAGGAGCAGGUAAAACUUUGUUAACAGUGAUUAGGGCGCCAGUCACACCUUGCUCUGGGACCCUGCGCUAUCCCAGGCGCUUUUCAGCUUUUGUUGAUGGACGCUGACUCUUGGGAUUCUGGGCAGGAAGCAGAGCUCUUGGAGGCCCUUGUAGUGCCUGCAGAGCAUGGGGGCGUUGCUUCCUUCUUUCUCUCCUGAGCUUCGGACUUGCCCUGGAGGCUGGGGAUACCAAACCUCCCACUCUCCAGCAAUCCACUGCACCCUGAAGACAAGGAACCAGAGAGCGAGAGCCAGGCUUCAGGGGCUGCCGCAGCCACACCUCUCAGAGUUCCUGGAUCUGAUGACUUGCAGUGACUCUGGGUUGGGGAAGAUAUAGCCAAGAGGCCAGCGGGUGAAGCUGGGAACAGAGUGCACUGGAAGAAGUAUAUCUAAUCCCAACACAGGAUAAGGGGAACCAAACUAGCUCCAGAGCAUCAUUCAUUCAUUCAACAGCCAGUAACCGUCCGUGUGACCUUGGGAAAUUCAUCCUAACCAUUUGGAUUCACUUUCCUCACUGUAAGGUUAUAAUUAAAGGUGUGUAACUCAUAAAUUGCUGAGGAUCAAUUACAUUUUCUAAAAAGUGAUAAAAGAGCAGUGCUAGUAUACAGUUAGCGGUAUAGGCUUAUUUAUAUUCCUUCAUGCAUUCGUUUGGAAGACCCUCCCUCAUGGCUAUUCACUGCAGUAUUUAUUGAGCUCUUAGUUAGUGUCCACACAGCAAGGUAAAAGAAAUAAUAAUAAUAAUAAUAUAAAGAAUGUGUGACUAUCCUAACUCUCCAAGAUAUUAAAUUAUUAGGUGGAGACCCGUGAAUGGGUCUCCUGCCCUGUGUCUCUGGGAAACCAUUUAAAUACUGGUGCAAGAUGUUUGGACGCUGACAGGGGUUGUAUGGUAUUCCCAAUGAUUACAUUAGAUGCUCAUUGGCUCAGCCUUCAAAGGAUACACAGCAGGUUUUCAAUACAACCUUUGUGUAGGUGUGUUUGGGAGUUACCCUUGAGAUUUAGAAGGGGUAAGAAGCUAGGAUUUCCUGACACUUAGGUUUGAAGGAAGCUUAAGCAAGUGUUUGGGGUCCCAGGAGAGAAAAUUUGCUCAGGCUGUUGAAAGUAUGUCAGGACAAAUGGCACUUCGGGAGGGAGUUUUAAAUUCUCAACUAAUAGCCAUGAGGGAGGGUCUUCAAAACGGAAACAGGAAAUUAAUAAUCCCUUUGAAGGACACAGGCACUCUCAGUUACUUAAGGGAAGGACCAGUCUCCGUNGUACUCUUUAGGUGGCCACUCAGGGCCCUGGCAGGAAUGUCGACUCUCCCAGUGCAAACUGCUCUUUGCUCAGGGAUGGGGUAGAGGACACAGGGCAGGUCUGUAGUGUCUAUUGGAG
rnacentral:lncRNA from 1 species